CCUACGGGGGGCUGCAGUAGGGAAUAUUGGGCAAUGGAGGCAACUCUGACCCAGCCACGCCGCGUGCAGGAUGAAGGCCCUCUGGGUUGUAAACUGCUUUUGUAUGGGAAGAAAAUGCUUCUGCGGAAGUGACUGACGGUACCAUACGAAUAAGCAUCGGCUAACUCCGUGCCAGCAGCCGCGGUAAUACGGAGGAUGCGAGCGUUGUCCGGAUUUACUGGGUUUAAAGGGAGCGUAGGCGGGUUAGUAAGUGAGAGUUGAAAGGCAGUUGCUCA
rnacentral:rRNA from 1 species